CACGUAGGGCGCAAGCGUUGUCCGGAAUUAUUGGGCGUAAAGAGCUCGUAGGCGGUCUGUUGCGUCUGCUGUGAAAACUCGGGGCUCAACCCCGAGCCUGCAGUGGAUACGGGCAGACUAGAGGUAGGUAGGGGAGAAUGGAAUUCCCGGUGUAGCGGUGAAAUGCGCAGAUAUCGGGAGGAACACCGGUGGCGAAGGCGGUUCUCUGGGCCUUACCUGACGCUGAGGAGCGAAAGCGUGGGGAGCGAACAGG
rnacentral:rRNA from 1 species